AGUGAACGCUGGCGGCAGGCCUAACACAUGCAAGUCGAACGGCAACACAAUAAGAGCUUGCUCUUACGGGUGGCGAGUGGCGGGCGGGUGACACAUACAUCAGCAACCACUUUUUCGGGGGGGAUAACGGAGGGACAGUGACGCUACUACCGCAUACAAUCUACGGGUGGAAGCAGUGGAUCAUCGGACCUUUCGCGAUUGAAUUAGCUGGUGUCGCAUUAGCUAGUUGGCGUGGUAAAGGCCCACCAAGGCGACGAUCCGUAGCUGAGCUGAGAGGAUGAUCAGCCACACUGGAACUGAGACACGGUCCAGACUCCUACGGGAGGCAGCAGUGGGGAAUAUUGGGCAAUGGGCGCAAGCCUGACGCAGCAACACCGCGUGAGUGAAGAAGGUCUUCGGAUUGUAAAGCUCUGUUAUUGGGAAAGAAAAGCUGUGGAUGUAUAUACGGACGUCUUGACGGUACCCAAAGAGUAAGCACCGGCUAACUACGUG
rnacentral:rRNA from 1 species